ACCAGAAAUUUAUUAACACCCUUUAGAAAUACAGGGAAUUUGUCCAGAGUGCAAUGAGAAUUCAAUAGGGCACAGUCAAAAAACAGGUGCGUUGUGGAACAUUGCUUUGGCAUGUUGAAGCAGCGUUUCAGACAGUUGUAUCAUCUGAAAUUGAGGAGUGCUAGAGAGAUGGCGCACUUCAUCCGAGCGUGCUGUGUGCUACACAAUCUCGCCGUGGAAGAUAACUUGGAGUUAGAAGAUAACGAAGGUGAAGAAGACGAUGCACCGGCUGAAGAACGAGUAGUCGGCUUCUACAAGUGGGAUGACAGAAGUGGCAUUGCAAAGAGAAAUAUGAUUGCAGCACAGUUGCAAAUGUAAAAGCAGCACCAGAUGCCCCAUCACCAACAUAUUACAACAAAUAUCAUACCAGUGAUGUGGAUGUUAGGAUGUAUUGUCACGGACUACAAGCAGGAGAUCAAGGUGAAGGAAGUCAACUGCAGGCCAUGGAGGAAGAAUAAAGGGCUGUCCAAGAAUAAUCAACAGCUGGGGUGUAUAAAGGGAAGUUUUAUAUUUUUAAUGUAGACCAUAUUAGUUUUUGAGCUUUAAUUGCAUUUGUUUCUUGCCAAGUGAGAUUGGUCGGUAAUUUGACAGCAUUUCUGUUUCUUGUGGAGAGAUAUAACUUCAGCACACUUAAGCCAGCCCGGGAAUGUUCCUGUAAUAAGUGAUUGGUUACACAAAUAGCUUUAGAUAUGACUAAGCUCACAUGAACACUCGUUUAUUAACUUUGUUGAUGUGUUAUUGUAACCACUAGAAUGGUUUGAUUUCAAGGACGUUGAUUCUAUUUCUUUGGGUGAAGUGUAAAUCUCAUUUCACUGAGAUUGCUUGUGUACACUGGUCUCAGAUAUUCCAUUGUUUAUCAGGCUUUCAUUUACUUUUUGAGCUACUAGUUCCUCCUCAUUUCUCAUCCUACCUGUCUCUGAUUUAACUGUAUCCCAUAUUGUUUUUAUUUUAUUGCUGGAUGUAUUUAUCUUCUUCUCAUAAUGCUGGUGUUUAGAUUUCUGGAUAACCUUCUUCAAUGUUUUGCAGUAAAUUUUGUAAUGAGCUGUAAGGCUAAUAACCCAUUUACUACUGGUUUUGUAAUGUGGCUUACUUGCCUAGAAUUGGCUAUAAAUAUAUUGUCAGUGGCUGUCUUAGCACAUUUGUAUACCCUAGUUGGGAAAUUUACAGUAGAAAUUAAAUUGAAUGUCAAUGUAACUGAUUUCCGUGUUUUUCAGGACAUGUAUAUUAAAAUCACCAGCAACCACUAGUUCUUUGUGAGUUUUUUUUAGAUGUGUGAUCAUUAGCUACAAUGUUAGGAAGAGUGCCUGGGACUCACACUAGGACAUGUCACCCAUAAACUAACUUACAUGACUAAUUAAACAAUGUUAUGGAUUUACAUUUACUCACACCAAAAUUAGUUGAUGCAGUAGUUGUUUGAGUUUAUUAUAAAUGAUUUUACGAACCACAUAUGCCAUAUUGUGUUAAUCAUUUCUUCAAAUUGCAUGCUUUGUCCUGUUUCCUUACUAAAGUCCUUAUGAGCUCAACAUCUUGUCAUGCAAAUGAUAGGGUGUUGGCUCAUUGUUUUUACAGGUUGAAGCUGAGGGCAUCAGAUGUCGCGUCUGUGAAGAGCAACGGAGGAGUAGUGAUUAUAAACUGUAAUUUUGAACUGUGCAUUUGGUGAUUAUAGUUUCAGUGUAAUUGUGACUUGUCUUUGUGUUUGUAGUUAAAUUGUAAUUGGGAACUGUGAAUUUGAGUAUAUUAUAAAUUUUAAUUGUAUAUUGUAACAUCCCACCCUCCUCUGCCAUCCUGAUCUGGGUCUUCCAUGGUUUCCCCAGAUAGCGUCAGGCGAAUGCCAGGAUGGGUCCCUAAGUCCAUGGCAGUUGUUCCAAUACCCUUUGUAUGCUUAUUUAUAAUAUUGGAACAAUUAAAGUGUUAAAAAAAUGAAA